GAUCCCGAGCGGCCAAAGGGAGCAGACUGUAAAUCUGCCGUCAUCGACUUCGAAGGUUCGAAUCCUUCCCCCACCA
rnacentral:tRNA from 1 species